rnacentral:lncRNA from 1 species
ACCAACCUCGGGCCAUUGCUAGAUCCGAGAAGAAAAUAUUAGGCGAAGGAGGCUACUGCUCGCCGAAUCCGUAGCAGCAGCAGCAUCAUGCAGUGGUGCGCCUUGCCACCGCACACCCGUCACCUCCGCCGGAGCAGACCUUCUCCGCUGAACGCAGCCCAUCUCCGCCGUUUCUGAUAAUGUCGAGUUCCGUCAACAAUAAUAAUGAAUCUGAG